rnacentral:rRNA from 1 species
GACAGAGGUGCCGAGCGUUAGGCGGAAUCACUGGGCUUAAAGCGUGUGUAGGCGGAGUUCUAAGUACCUUGUGAAACCCCACGGCUCAACCGUGGAACUGCUUGGUAUACUGGUUCUCUUGAGCCACCUAGGGGCAACCGGAACAAACGGUGGAGCGGUGAAAUGCGUAGAUAUCGUUUGGAACGCCAAUGGUGAAAACAGGUUGCUGGGGGUGUGCUGACGCUGAGACACGAAAGCCAGGGGAGCGAACGGG